GCCAAAUGUGAGAGGGUAUUAGCUUGGGCAUUCUCUGACCUUGGUAUUUGUAUGAUUUCUAGAUCUUCGAAGCUUUUUGAUAGUUCUUUUAUAUUUUAUAAAUAUUGAGAUAUUAUAGAAUCUUUAGGUUCAAAUUGAUCUCGCAGCUGUCCGACGAUCAGCUGUGAGUCGGUAAAGACUUUUAAGUCUUUUAACAUUAAGCUCUUUGGCCAUUUUGAGUCCAGUAAUAAGUGCUUCAUAUUUUGCUCCAUUAUUUGAAAUGUUAAAGUGAAAUC
rnacentral:lncRNA from 1 species